rnacentral:rRNA from 1 species
ACGGGAGGCAGCAGUGGGGAAUAUUGCACAAUGGGGGAAACCCUGAUGCAGCGACGCCGCGUGAGUGAAGAAGUAUUUCGGUAUGUAAAGCUCUAUCAGCAGGGAAGAAAAUGACGGUACCUGACUAAGAAGCCCCGGCUAACUACGUGCCAGCAGCCGCGGUAAUACGUAGGGGGCAAGCGUUAUCCGGAUUUACUGGGUGUAAAGGGAGCGUAGACGGCUUUGCAAGUCUGAAGUGAAAACCCGGGGCUUAACCCCGGGACUGCACUUGAAACUGCCUGGCUGGAGUGCAGGAGAGGCAAGUGGAAUUCCUAGUGUAGCGGUGAAAUGCGUAGAUAUUAGGAAGAACACCGGUGGCGAAGGCGACUUGCUGGACUGAGACUGACGCUGAGGCUCGAAAGCGUGGGGAGCAAACAGGAUUAGAUACCCUGGUA